rnacentral:misc_RNA from 1 species
AACGCACAUUGCGCUCUCUGGUAUUCCGGAGAGCAUGCUUGUUUGAGUAUCAGUAAAACACCUCAAGUCUGCUCUUCUUUUUGAAGACGGAUUUGGACUUGAGCGAUCCCAACAGGAGGGGCUUUCCUCUCUGGCGGGUUGCUUGAAAUGCAGGUGCAGCUGGAUUUUCAUCUGGGCUAUAAGCAUGUUUAUUUAGUCCCGUUAAACGGAUUAUUACUUUUUGCUGCAGCCAACGUAAAGGUUGAUUGUCCUCUUGCUGACUGUUGCAGGAAUUUUCGGGGGAUCGGCAACGAUUACCCGUUAAACUCGAUCUCAAAUCAAGUAAGACUACCCGCUGAACUUAA